rnacentral:rRNA from 1 species
CCUACGGGCUGCAGCAGUGGGGAAUAUUGCACAAUGGGCGCAAGCCUGAUGCAGCCAUGCCGCGGGUAUGAAGAAGGCCUUCGGGUUGUAAAGUACUUUCAGCGGGGAGGGAGGCGAUAAGGUUAAUAACCUUGUCGAUUGACGUUACCCGCGGAAGAAGCAGCGGCUAACUCCGUGCCAGCAGCCGCGGUAAUACGGAGGGUGCAAGCGUUAAUCGGAAUUACUGGGCGUAAAGCGCACGCAGGCGGUCUAUCAAGUCGGAUGUGAAAUCCCCGGGCUCAACCUGGGAACUGCAUUCGAAACUGGCAGGCUAGAGUCUUGUAGAGGGGGGUAGAAUUCCAGGUGUAGCGGUGAAAUGCGUAGAGAUCUGGAGGAAUACCGGUGGCGAGGGCGGCCCCCUGGACAAAGACUGACGCUCAGGUGCGAAAGCGUGGGGAGCAAACAGGAUUAGAUACCCGUGUAGUC